UACGUAGGUGGCAAGCGUUGUCCGGAUUUACUGGGCGUAAAGGGAGCGUAGGUGGAUAUUUAAGUGGGAUGUGAAAUACUCGGGCUUAACCUGGGUGCUGCAUUCCAAACUGGAUAUCUAGAGUGCAGGAGAGGAAAGUAGAAUUCCUAGUGUAGCGGUGAAAUGCGUAGAGAUUAGGAAGAAUACCAGUGGCGAAGGCGACUUUCUGGACUGUAACUGACACUGAGGCUCGAAAGCGUGGGGAGCAAACA
rnacentral:rRNA from 1 species